rnacentral:rRNA from 1 species
GACGAACGCUGGCGGCGUGCCUAAUACAUGCCAGUUGAGCGCUGAAGGUUGGUACUUGUACCAACUGGAUGAGCAGCGAACGGGUGAGUAACGCGUGGGGAAUCUGCCUUUGAGCGGGGGACAACAUUUGGAAACGAAUGCUAAUACCGCAUAAAAACUUUAAACACAAGUUUUAAGUUUGAAAGAUGCAGUUGCAUCACUCAAAGAUGAUCCCGCGUUGUGUUAGCUAGUUGGUGAGGUAAAGGGUCACCAAGGCGAUGAUACAUAGCCGACCUGAGAGGGUGAUCGGCCACAUUGGGACUGAGACACGGCCCAAACUCCUACGGGAGGCAGCAGUAGGGAAUCUUCGGCAAUGGACGAAAGUCUGACCGAGCAACGCCGCGUGAGUGAAGAAGGUUUUCGGAUCGUAAAACUCUGUUGGUAGAGAAGAACGUUGGUGAGAGUGGAAAGCUCAUCAAGUGACGGUAACUACCCAGAAAGGGACGGCUAACUACGUG